GGCUUGUUGUCGUCCGCUCUGGUCACGUGCUCUCGUCUAUAUGAGGGCUCUGCUGCGCAUGCGCACUGCUCAGUGUUGUCAGCGCGUCCUCAGUCGGGUCUCUCAGGCUCGUGUGGAUGUCAGGAUCAGGUUUUGCCGUUAUCUUGCUCUUCAUUUCCUAAGAAGUGUUGCUCGGUUACACAUCACUGAUCCUGCUGAGAGACUGUCCUGUAGGUGUUGAGCGGUGCAGAUGCUGAUGAUCGGGGGUCACGC